GACGAACGCUGACGGCGUGCUUAACACAUGCAAGUCGAACGGACUACUUUGCUUCGGUAAGGUGGUUAGUGGCGAACGGGUGAGUAACGCGUAGACAACCUACCUCUUAGAUGGGGACAACAUCGCGAAAGCGGUGCUAAUACCGAAUGAAGUGACUUUCCUGCAUGGGAGAGAUACUAAAGGUGGCCUCUAUUUAUAAGCUACCACUGAGAGAUGGGUCUGCGUCUGAUUAGCUAGUUGGCGGGGUAACGGCCCACCAAGGCGACGAUCAGUAGCCGGUCUGAGAGGCUGAACGUCCACAUUGGAACGGAGACCCAGCCCAAACUCCUACGUGAGGCAGCAGUGGGGAAUCUUCCGCAAUGGACGAAAGUCUGACGGAGCAACUCCGCGUGAGUGAAGAAGGUUUUCGGCUCGUAAAACUCUGUUGUUAAAGAAGAACGUAUCUAAGAGUAACUGCUUAGGUAGUGACGGUAUUUAACCAGAAAGCCACGGCUAACUACGUGCCAGCCGCCGCGGUAC
rnacentral:rRNA from 1 species